rnacentral:rRNA from 2 species
ACAAUGAAGAGUUUGAUCCUGGCUCAGGAUGAACGCUAGCUACAGGCUUAACACAUGCAAGUCGAGGGGCAGCAUGGUCUUAGCUUGCUAAGGCCGAUGGCGACCGGCGCACGGGUGAGUAACACGUAUCCAACCUGCCGUCUACUCUUGGACAGCCUUCUGAAAGGAAGAUUAAUACAAGAUGGCAUCAUGAGUCCGCAUGUUCACAUGAUUAAAGGUAUUCCGGUAGACGAUGGGGAUGCGUUCCAUUAGAUAGUAGGCGGGGUAACGGCCCACCUAGUCUUCGAUGGAUAGGGGUUCUGAGAGGAAGGUCCCCCACAUUGGAACUGAGACACGGUCCAAACUCCUACGGGAGGCAGCAGUGAGGAAUAUUGGUCAAUGGGCGAGAGCCUGAACCAGCCAAGUAGCGUGAAGGAUGACUGCCCUAUGGGUUGUAAACUUCUUUUAUAAAGGAAUAAAGUCGGGUAUGCAUACCCGUUUGCAUGUACUUUAUGAAUAAGGAUCGGCUAACUCCGUGCCAGCAGCCGCGGUAAUACGGAGGAUCCGAGCGUUAUCCGGAUUUAUUGGGUUUAAAGGGAGCGUAGAUGGAUGUUUAAGUCAGUUGUGAAAGUUUGCGGCUCAACCGUAAAAUUGCAGUUGAUACUGGAUAUCUUGAGUGCAGUUGAGGCAGGCGGAAUUCGUGGUGUAGCGGUGAAAUGCUUAGAUAUCACGAGGAACUCCGAUUGCGAAGGCAGCCUGCUAAGCUGCAACUGACAUUGAGGCUCGAAAGUGUGGGUAUCAAACAGGAUUAGAUACCCUGGUAGUCCACACGGUAAACGAUGAAUACUCGCUGUUUGCGAUAUACGGCAAGCGGCCAAGCGAAAGCGUUAAGUAUUCCACCUGGGGAGUACGCCGGCAACGGUGAAACUCAAAGGAAUUGACGGGGGCCCGCACAAGCGGAGGAACAUGUGGUUUAAUUCGAUGAUACGCGAGGAACCUUACCCGGGCUUAAAUUGCAGAUGAAUUACGGUGAAAGCCGUAAGCCGCAAGGCAUCUGUGAAGGUGCUGCAUGGUUGUCGUCAGCUCGUGCCGUGAGGUGUCGGCUUAAGUGCCAUAACGAGCGCAACCCUUGUUGUCAGUUACUAACAGGUUCUGCUGAGGACUCUGACAAGACUGCCAUCGUAAGAUGUGAGGAAGGUGGGGAUGACGUCAAAUCAGCACGGCCCUUACGUCCGGGGCUACACACGUGUUACAAUGGGGGGUACAGAGGGCCGCUACCACGCGAGUGGAUGCCAAUCCCAAAAACCUCUCUCAGUUCGGACUGGAGUCUGCAACCCGACUCCACGAAGCUGGAUUCGCUAGUAAUCGCGCAUCAGCCACGGCGCGGUGAAUACGUUCCCGGGCCUUGUACACACCGCCCGUCAAGCCAUGGGAGCCGGGGGUACCUGAAGUGCGUAACCGCGAGGAGCGCCCUAGGGUAAAACUGGUGACUGGGGCUAAGUCGUAACAAGGUAGCCGUACCGGAAGGUGCGGCUGGAACACCUCCUUU